rnacentral:rRNA from 1 species
GAUGAACGCUGGCGGCGUGCCUAAUACAUGCAAGUCGAGCGAACCACUUCGGUGGUGAGCGGCGAACGGGUGAGUAACACGUAGGUGAUCUGCCCAUCAGACGGGGACAACGAUUGGAAACGAUCGCUAAUACCGGAUAGGACGAAAGUUUAAAGGUGCUUCUGGCACCGCUGAUGGAUGAGCCUGCGGCGCAUUAGCUAGUUGGUAGGGUAAAGGCCUACCAAGGCGACGAUGCGUAGCCGACCUGAGAGGGUGAACGGCCACACUGGGACUGAGACACGGCCCAGACUCCUACGGGAGGCAGCAGUAGGGAAUCUUCGGGCAAUGGGCGAAAGCCUGACCGAGCAACGCCGCGUGAAUGAUGAAGGCCU